rnacentral:lncRNA from 1 species
UUCCCAUCCCCCUCGCGCUCACCUCCCGGCUGCGCCGCGCGCGAGGCGGAGCGAGGAGCCCGCGGCCGCCGCCGAGCUGAGGGGCGAGAGCCUCGCCCGCGCCGCCGCUGACAGGAGGAUCGCCGCGGGUUGCGCUCGUCGGCCGGGAGGCCCCCGCGGUCUUUCCGGGACGCCGACCCACCGCGGGGCGUCCGGGGGCUGCGAGGUACCCUGGGAAUCGCGGGCGGCGCCGGCAGGCGGCCGCGGUCCUCACGGGAGACCCCGGGGACUGGAGCUUGAGCCCGAGGUGCGGCGAGCCCCUCAGAGCGGCAGUUUUGGUAGUACUAGACUAGCACAACCAUGUUUCGGAAUAGUCUCAAGAUGCUUCUUACUGGUGGGAAAUCAAGUCGUAAAAACAGGUCAAGUGGUAAGUGAUUAUGCUAUAUUUAUUCUGUGUAAUAUUUUACAUCUAUGUUUAUUAAUUGCUUUAUUUAAUUUAUAGGAAAGAAACUUUACAUUCCUAUAGGCUGACAUACACUUUAAUAGGUAAGAACACUUGGGACACUUAUCAGGAGUUAUCAGAUAAAGGAGGAAUUUGUGAAGGAAAAAAUUUCUUUCUAAUAUAUGAGAGAUUAAUGAAUCGGUGCAUCUAAAUAUUAGAAACUUUUUAGACCUAAAUUUAAUUUUUUGGAGUGAAUAUGUGAAAUUAUUGCAGUCCAUGUGCUAUUUGGGGAAUGAAACUAAAAAUAGGAACCAUCCCCAAAGGUUUAUACAGAAAGGGGAAUGUAAGUUGGAGAUUUUUAUAGCUAUUAAAAUGAAGUUUGUG